UCUGCAUCUCGCUUGACCUUGUCAUUCAUUGUAUAGGGAGAAGUUCUCACUGUAUAAAAAGGAGUUUGGGCCCUGUGUCCAGCCACCAGUGUGCCAUCAGAGUCCAUACUGAAAUAGAAAUUCUUGGCCACUGCAGUAGCAAGAAAGGAAAGAAAUGCCAGGUUUUCUUGUCCUGACAUGACUGCAUGCUGUAACCUUCAUUCUCUGGUUUAAAUACUCCAAGAUCAUCAGAAACUUCAGUUUGAAUGAACCACGUAACUCUGAUAUGAUGAGAGAAUGUCUCAGUCUUCAUCUCCUGGAUAAGGAUCAGAUCUUCCAAAACUUGGGUGCCCCAGCCUGUCUCCUGCACAGCCACAUUUUUGGCAAUGCUCAGUAGUUGUUCAACUUGAAAGCUGUUGCUCAGGAAAAUAAAGGAUCCUGUUAAGCUGGGCAGGGAGAAGAGGAUGGCUGAAGCAGUGACUUGCCUUCUGAUGAGGCUUAUCCUUAUUACAGUGUGCUGCUGCGAGGAGAGGUGUGAGGCCAAGGUGUUUGCAGGUAGCACACUUCUGAGCGGAGUGAUUAAGCCCUGGCAAGAGACCAAAGAGCUGCUCUGGAUCAAUCAAAAAAACAAAA